rnacentral:rRNA from 1 species
AUUGAACGCUGGCGGCAUGCCUUACACAUGCAAGUCGAACGGUAACGCGGGGCAACCUGGCGACGAGUGGCGAACGGGUGAGUAAUGCAUCGGAACGUGCCCAGUAGUGGGGGAUAGCCCGGCGAAAGCCGGAUUAAUACCGCAUACGACCUAAGGGUGAAAGCGGGGGAUCGCAAGACCUCGCGCUAUUGGAGCGGCCGAUGUCAGAUUAGGUAGUUGGUGGGGUAAAGGCCUACCAAGCCGACGAUCUGUAGCUGGUCUGAGAGGACGACCAGCCACACUGGGACUGAGACACGGCCCAGACUCCUACGGGAGGCAGCAGUGGGGAAUUUUGGACAAUGGGGGCAACCCUGAUCCAGCCAUGCCGCGUGCGGGAAGAAGGCCUUCGGGUUGUAAACCGCUUUUGUCAGGGAAGAAACGCUCUGGGUUAAUACCUCGGGGUAAUGACGGUACCUGAAGAAUAAGCACCGGCUAACUACGUGCCAGCAGCCGCAGUAACAC